rnacentral:rRNA from 1 species
UUACGGGGUGCAGCAGGCGCGAAACCUCUGCAAUAGGCGAAAGCUUGACAGGGUUACUCUGAGUGAUUUCCGUUAAGGAGAUCUUUUGGCACCUCUAAAAAUGGUGCAGAAUAAGGGGUGGGCAAGUCUGGUGUCAGCCGCCGCGGUAAUACCAGCACCCCGAGUGGUCGGGACGUUUAUUGGGCCUAAAGCAUCCGUAGCCGGUUCUACAAGUCUUCCGUUAAAUCCACCUGCUCAACAGAUGGGCUGCGGAAGAUACUAUGGAGCUAGGAGGCGGGAGAGGCAAGCGGUACUCGAUGGGUAGGGGUAAAAUCCGUUGAUCCAUUGAAGACCACCAGUGGCGAAGGCGGCUUGCCAGAACGCGCUCGACGGUGAGGGAUGAAAGCUGGGGGAGCAAACCGGACUAGAUACCCGGGUAGUCCCAGCUGUAAACGAUGCAGACUCGGUGAUGAGUUGACUUUAUGCCAAUUCAGUGCCGCAGGGAAGCCGUUAAGUUUGCCGCCUGGGGAGUACGGUCACAAGACUGAAUCUUAAAGGAAUUGGCGGGGGAGCCAA